rnacentral:rRNA from 1 species
AACUGCUUUUAUGCGGGGAUAAAGUGAGGGACGUGUCCCUUUUUGCAGGUACCGCAUGAAUAAGGACCGGCUAAUUCCGUGCCAGCAGCCGCGGUAAUACGGAAGGUCCGGGCGUUAUCCGGAUUUAUUGGGUUUAAAGGGAGCGUAGGCCGGGGAUUAAGUGUGUUGUGAAAUGUAGGCGCCCAACGUCUGACUUGCAGCGCAUACUGGUUCCCUUGAGUACGCGCAACGCCGGCGGAAUUCGUCGUGUAGCGGUGAAAUGCUUAGAUAUGACGAAGAACCCCGAUUGCGAAGGCAGCCGGCGGGAGCGCAACUGACGCUGAAGCUCGAAGGUGCGGGUAUCGAACAGGAUUAGAUACCCUGGUAGUCC